UUCCUUGUUUUCCCUUUUUUUUUUUCAGGGUAAAAUGUUGGAAAGGGGAGUCCUGUGUCUAAGUAAAGAUGGAAAACAAGAGUGAGGUUGAUCGUGUUGUCUGGGAAGGAAGAGGGCUCUGACCCCUGCGUCCUGGAGCUCAGGAGACAUUUGGUUCUCUCCGUGGGUGUGGUGUGAAACUCUGCUCAAAGCCAAAGAUUGC
rnacentral:lncRNA from 1 species